CAGUCGCCGCGGGAAUACGAAGGGUGCAAGCGUUAAUCGGAAUUACUGGGCGUAAAGCGUGCGUAGGCGGUGAGUUAAGUCUGCUGUGAAAUCCCCGGGCUCAACCUGGGAAUGGCAGUGGAUACUGGCUCGCUAGAGUGUGUCAGAGGAUGGUGGAAUUCCCGGUGUAGCGGUGAAAUGCGUAGAGAUCGGGAGGAACAUCAGUGGCGAAGGCGGCCAUCUGGGACAACACUGACGCUGAGGCACGAAAGCGUGGGGAGCAAACAGGAUUAGAUACCCGAGUAGUCCCUGUCUCUUAUAA
rnacentral:rRNA from 1 species